CAGUAUCUGUUAUUCUCAACUGUGAUUUGUCGCAGUUAAGGAACCUAGGUCGUGUAUCCCUCCGCCACUGCUAUUUCUGCUACUUCCGGGAUUUCUGCGACUUCUGUGAUUUCUGCUACUUCUGCGAUUUCUGCGACUUCCGCUACUUCUGCGACUUCUGUGAUUUCUGCUACUUCUGCGAUUUCUGCGACUUCCGCUACUUCUGCGAUUUCUGUUGCUCCUGCGAUUUCUGCGACUUACCACCGUAUGAAAAAGUUACAUCUGUCCACACAGAAAAUUGCAUCUCAACAAACCUGUCAUUGGUACGCGAACUACAUUUUAGUCACUCAGUAAUGUGAUAACUCAAAAUAUCAUUGUCAACAGAUCUGGAGAAAUUGCCACUGCGUCUUUAGACCGUUUUCGUCAGACGAGAGACACAGUUCUGACUCUGAUUACUGGUUGCUGUACGUAUCUAUCCACAUCAAGGCUGUUGAGAGAGACUCGUGAAGAUUCAAGACAGCUCUUAGAAGAUUUUGCAGUUUAAAAGUGACAUUAUUGUGAAAUAAGUGUGCAGAUGAGUGAUUAAACUGUGUUUUAUUGAAGUUGUUGUGCGAUUUUAAAGGA